rnacentral:rRNA from 1 species
UACGUAGGGGGCGAGCGUUAUCCGGAUUUACUGGGUGUAAAGGGAGCGUAGACGGUUCUGCAAGUCUGAAGUGAAAGCCCGUGGCUUAACCGCGGAACGGCUUUGGAAACUGUGGAACUCGAGUGCUGGAGAGGCAAGCGGAAUUCCUAGUGUAGCGGUGAAAUGCGUAGAUAUUAGGAGGAACACCAGUGGCGAAGGCGGCUUGCUGGACAGUAACUGACGUUGAGGCUCGAAAGCGUGGGGAGCAAACAGG